GGGCUUGUGGUCUAGCGGUAUGACAUCUUCUUAGCAUCAUCCCUCUAAGAGGGUCAGAUGAUUACAUGGAGAAGGUUCCGCGUUCGACUCGCGGCUAGUCCA